AAAAAAAAAAAAGCCACAUGAAAAAAGCAUUACUUUUCCCUUCUAUGACUUACGAAAACGACUUUUCUUUUAAUUUAGCUAAGAGUUUGAAUCCUUACCAUUUUCCAUCAUUUGUGAAGUAUAAACAAACCCAUUCCACUAACAUUUACAAAAGGAAAUCCAAAAUAACAUUGGGUUCCAUAAUCUUCAAUGGACUGAGCGGCUUUCCACUCAUCCCAAACUUUAAAAAUACCAUUAGAUACUCUCAACUUCCUUAUGUGUCCUGAAAUUUGAUAUCCUUUUAAAAAAUAUAUAUUUUUCCCAAAUAGAUCAUCAGAAUGAUUUUCGAUAAAUGAUCAAUUUACAUAUAAUUUUGCCUAGGUUUUGACUGCAUCAAUAAGCAUAUCAGUCAUCGCAUGCUCUUUAAGUAAAACCAGACAUUAUUGCAUUUGCAAGACAAAAUCACAACUAGAAAUCAGAAGAGGUCAUCUUUUCAAAGAUUAAAAAUGCAAUUCUCACGGAGAGAAGCCAUCUUUCUUUUUAUUUACUUCUCAUACACUUAAGUGAAAUAGUGUGUAAAGGCAAGAAAAGAAGCAGUAAAGCCAGAAGCAAGAAGAAUACAGAAAUUACAGGUAGACCAAUAGUGAGCUAACAGUUAGAAAAGUUGUUAGUUUAUUAGAUGAUCUGUUAGCUUAGCUGUUGUAAACUGUAUAUAGCUGAGGUUAGCUUUCACUGUAAUUCAUUUAGUGACCAAUGAAAGAACUUUCUUCUGGAAACCUUUGAGCCUUUCUUUUACUUUUUCUCUCACUUCCUCUUUUCUCACAUAUUUUCCCUCUGAUUCUCAGGUUCCAAGCAGAUGUUGGGUUAAAUCCGAUUUUAACAUGUUGGGUUAAAUCCGAUUUUAACUCAAAUUAUUCGGUAUUGAGCUUGUUAAUUCCAGCAAUUAUUUUCUUUAAUUCAUCAUCAUGACUGUCAA
rnacentral:misc_RNA from 1 species